rnacentral:rRNA from 1 species
GAUGAACGCUAGCGGCAGGCUUAAUACAUGCAAGUCGAGGGGCAACAGGGGUAGCAAUACCUGCUGGCGACCGGCAAACGGGUGCGGAACACGUACAGAACCUUCCUUUAAGUUGGAGAUAGCCCGGAGAAAUCCGGAUUAAUACCUAAUGGUAUUAUGGUGUGGCAUCACAUUUAUAAUUAAAGCCUUGGCGCUUAGAGAUGGCUGUGCGUAUGAUUAGGUGUUGGNGCGGGUAACGCCCACCAAGCCUUCGAUCAUUAACUGGUGUGAGAGCACGACCAGUCACACGGG